rnacentral:rRNA from 1 species
AUGAAAAUUCAUAUAGUGUUAAUGCAUUGUAUCCCAUCAGAACUCCAUAGUUAAGCAUGCUUGGGCUAGAGUAGUACUGGGAUGGGUGACCUCUUAGGAAGUCCUAGUGUUUUACAUU